rnacentral:rRNA from 1 species
AGAACGAACGCUGGCGGCAUGCCUAACACAUGCAAGUCGAACGAGACCUUCGGGUCUAGUGGCGCACGGGUGCGUAACGCGUGGGAAUCUGCCCCUCGGUUCGGAAUAACAGUGGGAAACUACUGCUAAUACCGGAUGAUGACGAAAGUCCAAAGAUUUAUCGCCGAGGGAUGAGCCCGCGUAGGAUUAGGUAGUUGGUGAGGUAAAGGCUCACCAAGCCGACGAUCCUUAGCUGGUCUGAGAGGAUGAUCAGCCACACUGGGACUGAGACACGGCCCAGACUCCUACGGGAGGCAGCAGUGGGGAAUAUUGGACAAUGGGCGAAAGCCUGAUCCAGCAAUGCCGCGUGAGUGAUGAAGGCCUUAGGGUUGUAAAGCUCUUUUACCAGGGAUGAUAAUGACAGUACCUGGAGAAUAAGCUCCGGCUAACUCCGCGCCAGCAGCCGC